rnacentral:lncRNA from 1 species
AACACCAUGAAGCCAAGAGCAAUGGAACCAUCAUCUCUUGCAGGAAAAGGAGUGGAUGCCCACGUGGCUGGCUGAGGCUCCUGGGCCCGCCGCCUCCGUCCCCCCGCUGGCCUGUCCCCGACUCAUCACUGGAUCGCCUCCACAUAAUUUGCCGGGUAUAGGCCAACUUGCCCGUUGUCCAAGCGUCCCUUGCACCAGCCCUGCUCAUCCUCGUC